CCUACGGGUGGCAGCAGUGAGGAAUAUUGGUCAAUGGUCGGGAGACUGAACCAGCCAAGCCGCGUGAGGGAGGAAGGUACAGAGUAUCGUAAACCUCUUUUGUCAGGGAACAAAGACUGGGACGCGUCCCCGGAUGAGUGUACCUGAAUAAAAAGCAUCGGCUAACUCCGUGCCAGCAGCCGCGGUAAUACGGAGGAUGAGAGCGUUCUCCGGAUUUAUUGGGGUUAAAGGGUGCGCAGGCGGUCUGUUAAGUCAGCGGUCAAAGCCCGGGGCUCAACCCCGGCCCGCCGUUGAAACUGGCAGUCUCGAGUGGGAGAGAAGUAUGCGGAAUGCGCGGUGUAGCGGUGAAAUGCAGAGAUAUCGCGCAGAACUCCGAUUGCGAAGGCAGCAUGCCGGCUCCACACUGACGCUGAGGCACGAAAGCGUGGGUAGCGAACAGGAUUAGAUACCCCGGUAGUC
rnacentral:rRNA from 1 species